rnacentral:rRNA from 1 species
UGCCACAGCCAUAUAACCCUGCAGCCCAAGACCAGUUACUCACUGAAGCUAAGCAGGGCUGAGCCUGGUUAGUACCUGGAUGGGAGACCACUAGGGAACACUAGGUUGCUGUUGGAA